rnacentral:lncRNA from 1 species
GGAAUGGAGUGGGAAUCCUUAUCUCUAUACUCACCAUGCUGCGUGUCAUAAAUCAUGCCUUCUGAACUGUGAAACUGUUACUGAAAAGAGCGUCCUGUCUCCUGGUGAUGCAGCUGUUUUUGCAACCUGUGCCUCUGCUCUGAGACAGCAAUCUGCAGCGAGGAAGAGCUGAGCAGGGACUGCCACUUCUGAUGAGUGAAGAACUGCAAAAACAGCUGUGUUCUUCUGUAGGAGCCUGGUUUGGAUGAGGCUUUCUUAAAGUAUGAUUUCAUUGUGAAUAACAACUAGUAAUAAAUUCUUGGAUUGUGCCACAAAUGCAUAUUCUAUAAAAUGG